rnacentral:pre_miRNA from 1 species
GUAGUAUUCCCUCCAUCCCAAAAUUGUUGUCUUACAUUUGUUUAGAUACAGAUGUAUCUAACACUAAAAUGUAACUAGAUACAUCCAUAUUUAGAAAAAUUUAAGACAAGAAUUUUGGGAUGGAGGGAGUACAAA